rnacentral:lncRNA from 1 species
GGGAUAGGAAGGUUGAUGGGAAAUGAACUGGCUGUCACUGUCCUUCCUGUCCAGAUGCAUUUGGAGGCUUUCUGGAGAAUGGUUUCCAAACUCAGUAUGUGCUGAAUGUUUCCCCAAUCUAUGGGGAAAUGAAAAGAAGACAGUGCAGUGAAUUUCUGAAAGUUAACCACUUUCAGCAUUAAUAGAACAAACGAAACCCUGGGAGCAGCCUUCAUGCUUGUUUGACGUUGCAGGGCGGCCUGUGAUUGAAGCUGUCAUGUAAGAUGAUGAUGUGAGAUAUGAGUGAGUGCACGUGCCUGUGAUGUGCGCUGGGUCUGUGAGGUGUGCACGUGCCUGUGACGUGUGCUGGGUCUGUGAGGUGUGCAUGGGUCUGUGAGGUGUGCAUGUGCCUAUGAAGUGUGCUGGGUCUGUGAGGUGUGCACGGAUCUGUGAGAUGUGCAUGGGUCUGUGAGGUGUGCACGUGCCUGUGAAGUGUGCUGGGUCUGUGAGGUGUGCACGGAUCUGUGAGGUGUGCAUGGGUCUGUGAGGUGUGCUGGGUCUGUGAGGUGUGCACGGGUCUGUGAGGUGUGCGCGUGCCUGUGAUAUGUGCUGGGUCUGUGAGGUGUGCACAGGUCUGUGAGGUGUGCACGUGCCUAUGAUGUGUGCACGUGCCUAUGAAGUGUGCUGGGUCUGUGACAUGUGCUGGGUCUGUGAGGUGUGCACGGAUCUGUGAGGUGUGCAUGGGUCUGUGAGGUGUGCACGUGCCUGUGAUGUGUGCUGGGUCUGUGAGGUGUGCACGGGUCUGUGAGGUGUGCGCGUGCCUGUGAUAUGUGCUGGGUCUGUGAGGUGUGCACAGGUCUGUGAGGUGUGCACGUGCCUAUGAUGUGUGCACGUGCCUAUGAAGUGUGCUGGGUCUGUGACAUGUGCUGGGUCUGUGAGGUGUGCAUGGGUCUGUGAGGUGUGCACGUGCCUGUGAUGUGUACUGUAUCUGUGAGGUGUGCACAGGUCUGUGAGGUGUGUAUGGGUCUGUGACAUGUGCUGGGUCUGUGAGGUGUGCACGUGCCUGUGAUGUGUACUGUA